GAUGAACGCUGGCGGCGUGCCUAAUACAUGCAAGUCGAGCGAACGGACGAGAAGCUUGCUUUUCUGAUGUUAGCGGCGGACGGGUGAGUAACACGUGGAUAACCUACCUAUAAGACUGGGAUAACUUCGGGAAACCGGAGCUAAUACCGGAUAAUAUUUUGAACCGCAUGGUUCAAAAGUGAAAGACGGUCUUGCUGUCACUUAUAGAUGGAUCCGCGCUGCAUUAGCUAGUCGGUAAGGUAACGGCUUACCAAGGCAACGAUGCAUAGCCGACCUGAGAGGGUGAUCGGCCACACUGGAACUGAGACACGGUCCAGACUCCUACGGGAGGCAGCAGUAGGGAAUCUUCCGCAAUGGGCGAAAGCCUGACGGAGCAACGCCGCGUGAGUGAUGAAGGUCUUCGGAUCGUAAAACUCUGUUAUUAGGGAAGAACAUAUGUGUAAGUAACUGUGCACAUCUUGACGGUACCUAAUCAGAAAGCCACGGCUAACUACGU
rnacentral:rRNA from 1 species